GGGGAUUUGGCUCAGUGGUAGAGUGCUUGCCUAGUAAGCAAAAGGCCCUGGGUUCGGUUUUCAGCUCCG
rnacentral:tRNA from 1 species